rnacentral:rRNA from 1 species
UAGAGUUUGAUCCUGGCUCAGAAUCAACGCUGGCGGCGUGCCUAACACAUGCAAGUCGAGCGAGAAAAGGGGGGCAACUCCCUGAGUACAGCGGCGCACGGGUGAGUAACACGUGGGUAAUCUGCCCUGAAGUGGGGAAUAACACCGGGAAACCGGUGCUAAUACCGCAUACGAUCACGGAGUCUGCGGAUUUUGUGAUGAAAGGAGCAAUUCGCUUUAGGAGGAGCCCGCGGCUGAUUAGCUAGUUGGUGAGGUAAUGGCUCACCAAGGCUACGAUCAGUAUCCGGUCUGAGAGGACGGUCGGACACACUGGAACUGAGACACGGUCCAGACUCCUACGGGAGGCAGCAGUGGGGAAUUUUUCGCAAUGGGGGCAACCCUGACGAAGCAACGCCGCGUGGGUGAUGAAGUCUCUUGGGACGUAAAACCCUUUCGACGGGGAAGAAACCGCAAGGUUGACGGUACCCGUAGAAGAAGCCCCGGCUAACUACGUGCCAGCAGCCGCGGUAAUACGUAGGCAGCGAGCGUUGUUCGGAGUUACUGGGCGUAAAGGGUGUGUAGGCGGUUGUUUAAGUUUGGUGUGAAAUCUCCCGGCUCAACUGGGAGGGUGCGCCGAAUACUGAAUGACUANAGUGCGGGAGAGGAGAGUGGAAUUNCUGGUGUAGCGGUGAAAUGCGUAGAUAUCAGGAGGAACACCGGUGGUGUAGACGGCUCUCUGGACCGUACUGACGCUGAGACACAAAAGCGUGGGUACCAACAGGAUUAGAUACCCUGNUAUCCCACCCCCUAACGAUGCAUAUUGGUGUGGGCAGUCAUUCUGUCCGUGCCGGAACUAACCGUU